GACUCUUAAACUGACCGCACCAAACUGAAAGGAGCACGUUUCACCGGCUGCUUUCCUCAGCUCUCUCUCUGCAACACGCAGCACACCCUCACCCUCCAGUCUCCGAGGCUUUCUUAACAAGAUUACUGUCACAGCAGCCGAUGUUGAGCGCACCCUGACCCUCCCAACAGUCCACGACUGAUUCUACUGGUUGCAUCAGUCACAUUGGAACAUUGGAUGAUCAGCAUUGAAAGCCAGGUCAUCUGGGAAGGCAUUUAAAAAAAGCUUCAUCACAGGGCUUUCUACUUGCUAUGUGUUCAAUCUACUAUACCAAGAAGAAGCUGUAAGGACACUGGAGUUUGUUCAAAGGCGUCUCACUGGAAUUUAUCCUGAGAGGGGAAGAAAGACCAGCCAAGGGGAAGUGGUGGAAAAGGAAGACGGGGAAGCUGGUCCACAAAAAGGCAACAACGGUGAAUCACCAUGUGACCACGCUACUAAACAAUGUGAUGGACUUUAUUUAGCCAGUAUAGGUCAGUUCAUCUGUCUCAGACCUCCAGGGUCAUUGUUGAACCCACCAUUGUUGAGAGCCAGUUUAAUUUUUAUUGUUAAUGGAAUGGGUGUAAUUUAGUUAGCUUUUAUAUGCAUUUGAUGCAGUGAACUGUUGUCUUUGGGUGAAGGAAGGAAAAACAAAUGAGCAGAAAGAUUAAAUGAAUGUGAAUUGGCGGAUAAUUUGUACUCUGUGCUUUGCAUAGAAUGCAAGAAACAGUCAAACCAGACCUAUUUUGACCUGGGGACAAAAAUACAAAGUCAAAUGAUGUAAUUUAAGCCAUCACUUGUCACAGUUCACAUUCUGAAUUAAAUUUGUGUUUUUAUAAAUUUUGUAGACACUGAACAUGUUUAGCUUUAAUAAAUGCCUAAAGUUAUAAGACCAUCUCUUGUCUGAGCCUUUUCUGUGACAUCUAUGUUUAUAUUAUUAUUAUUAUUAUUAUUAUUG